AUGAACGCUGGCGGUCUGCUUAACACAUGCAAGUCGAACGGACUCUUCGGAGUUAGUGGCGGACGGGUGAGUAACGCGUGAGAAUCUGCCUCUAGAACGGGGACAACAGAGGGAAACUUCUGCUAAUCCCGGAUGAGCCGAAAGGUCAAAGAUUUAUCGUCUAGAGAUGAGCUCGCGUCUGAUUAGCUAGUUGGUAAGGUAAAAGCUUACCAAGGCGACGAUCAGUAGCUGGUCUGAGAGGAUGAUCAGCCACACUGGGACUGAGACACGGCCCAGACUCCUACGGGAGGCAGCAGUGGGGAAUUUUCCGCAAUGGGCGAAAGCCUGACGGAGCAAGACCGCGUGGGGGAGGAAAGCCUUUGGGUUGUAAACCCCUUUUCUCAGGGAAGAAGAAAGUGACGGUACCUGAGGAAUCAGCCUCGGCUAACUCCGUGCCAGCAGCCGCGGUAAUACGGAGGAGGCAAGCGUUAUCCGGAAUGAUUGGGCGUAAAGCGUUCGUAGGUGGCAAUUCAAGUCUGCUGUCAAAGACAGUAGCUCAACUACUGCAAGGCAGUGGAAACUGAAUAGCUAGAGUGCGGUAGGGGCAGAGGGAAUUCCCGGUGUAGCGGUGAAAUGCGUAGAGAUCGGGAAGAACACCGGUGGCGAAAGCGCUCUGCUGGGCCGCAACUGACACUGAGGGACGAAAGCUAGGGGAGCGAAUGGGAUUAGAUACCCCAGUAGUCCUAGCUGUAAACGAUGGGAAACUAGGUGUUGCCUGUAUCGACCCAGGCAGUGCCGUAGCUAACGCGUUAAGUUUCCCGCCUGGGGAGUACGCACGCAAGUGUGAAACUCAAAGGAAUUGACGGGGGCCCGCACAAGCGGUGGAGUAUGUGGUUUAAUUCGAUGCAACGCGAAGAACCUUACCAGGGCUUGACAUGUCCGGAACCCCGGUGAAAGCUGGGGGUGCCUUCGGGAGCCGGAACACAGGUGGUGCAUGGCUGUCGUCAGCUCGUGUCGUGAGAUGUUGGGUUAAGUCCCGCAACGAGCGCAACCCUCGUCUUUAGUUGCCAGCAUUAAGUUGGGCACUCUAGAGAGACUGCCGGUGACAAACCGGAGGAAGGUGGGGAUGACGUCAAGUCAGCAUGCCCCUUACGCUCUGGGCGACACACGUACUACAAUGGUCGGGACAGAGGGCAGCUAACCUGCGAAGGCAAGCUAAUCCCAGAAACUCGGCCUCAGUUCAGAUCGCAGGCUGCAACUCGCCUGCGUGAAGGAGGAAUCGCUAGUAAUCGCCGGUCAGAAUACGGCGGUGAAUCCGUUCCCGGGCCUUGUACUCACCGC
rnacentral:rRNA from 1 species